AGGUGCGAUGACAUGUGCCAAUUCUUUGGUGAUUGCUGUCCAGACUACCCUCUACCAAUCUUUAACGAGACUCCAUCAAACGAGACUCUACUGAACGAGACAGAAUCAAACGAGACUCCAUCAAACGAGACUCUAUCAGCCGAGACUAUAUCAAACGAGACUCUAUCAAAUGAGACUCUAUCGAACGAGACUCUAUCAAACAAGACUCUAUCAAACGAGACCCUACCAAACGAGACUCUAUCAAACGAGACUGUAUUAGACCUUGACGUAUGGGAAUGUAUCGUUGAUUCUUUCCUUCCACUAUUCUACCCAUUUCUUGGACAUGGUUACAGGAUGAUUGCUAGGUGCCCAUCAGGAUGGUCUUUAGAGGAGGAUGUCAAACGAAAUUGUGAAGAGGUUCCUCCCAAUGCAACUAUAGAUGUUCUUUAUAUCUACAACAACAUAUACUUUAGAAACCUGGGUUGUGCUACUUGCCAUGGGUAUACUGAAAGUUCUUUGACAGCUGUUGUCAUUUCAGCAGACCAACAAUGUUGGUGGGGAUAUGAGUAUACCCUUGCCUGCAUGACACCAAUGCCCGCAUUACAGUCCAACGUUUCGAUGAUUAUCAGCGGAUCUGAUAUCAUGCCUACUGUUCAAACUAUUCCGAAACCUCGACUUUGCCUCGUGAAUACAACUGGAAGUUGUCCAAAUGGGACAAAUGAAGAGAUAGCCAGCGAGUGUCAGUAUUAUUACAAACCAUUCAUUAUUGAAGGCGUUGUAAGGAAGCAUCCUGCAUGCAGUAAUUGCAACGGAGGUCCCUUGGUCAUAUGCCAACCAAUGAUAACUGAUCAUGUGGAUGCACGGAAUUUACCAAUGUAUGAGUAUGACGAACCAAUGCAUAACGAAGGAAUAAUUGAUAUUUUUAUAAUGCCCGAACCCAUCAGGCCCCUAGUAGUACAAUGCAUAGAAGGAUUUGAAAUGGAUGACAAUGGUAACUGCGCUCCCAUAUCAUCCGAUUGGCCCGUCUGUCAAUCCAAAUAUUUUGGAGUCAAACAAAGUAACGGAACUGUAGAGUGUUUAGAAGAGAUGGUUUGUUUCAGGGAGGUGACCAUGGAUAACAUUACAAUAUCGGCAAUAGUUCCCCCACCUUGUCUAGUUAGGUCUUCAACAGACGUGGUUAAUGAUACUAUAACAUUUAGUGUGAUUUACAGAGAUGACAUGAACCCAUCUCUUGAUAUAAUCCAGAGAGACAUCAUACAUCAACUUCAAACUCCUAGCCGUGACGGUUGCAAGGACAUAGUAAUAUCAACUAGUCAAUCCUGUUAUGUCGAAGAAAAUCCUGAAAACAUUACAUAUCGUUGUCCCGAGGAAAUGUUUGCUGGAUAUUAUUUAGAUCUUACGCCUUCUCUUAUCAACAAUGAGUCUCUUAUUUACUUCAAUGGAACUUAUAUUCGACCAACAUGGUGGAGUAAUAUCACCAACAUGCAGUUCAGCAGUGACAACGUCUCAUCAGAGUAUCAGUUUGUUAUGUGUGGGACCGAGAUUGCCCUCCAAACAUGCUCUUUCUUCACGGUUUCCAAUGAUUCCAUUGAAUGGGACUAUCAAGGAAACCAGUCUGUUAUUCUGUAUCAAGGUCAGAUGUACGACAUAGAGGACAUUCUGAUUCAUCCCGAUGGUUCCAUAAGCAUCUGCUAUAUUGAUCAGGUCACACCCAUUAGUAGAAGGACAUUGAUAAUCCUAGGACAUGUUCUCUUUGCCACAUCAUCAAUUUGUCUCUUUGCUACAUUGAUAACUUACGUUGCCUUCUCUACCUUGAGGAAUCGUCAAGGUGUAUCCAUAAUGAAUUUCAUUGUUGCGUUGUUCCUUGGACAAAUCUUCCUUCAGUACAUUCGUCUUUUAGUCUCCCAGUUGGGAAUACCUUGCAUAGUCGUUGCUGCGAUGUCACAUUUCUUCUUCCUUGCUUCGUUUUUUUGGACGACUAUCCUUGCUUGGGACCUGAGUCGGAGCUUCGCAGCAAGUAAGAUGAAAUCGUUUUCAUCUAGCACAUUUGGUCGUAAGAUGGUGUUUUUUCUUGUUAUUGGAUGGGGCACCCCUCUCGUCUUUGUCUCGAUCACUUUGUUACUUCAGUUCGGAGGAUUUAAAAUGGUCCUUUUUUGGAAUACGACAGUAAUACAUGCUGGCUUGCCAAACUAUCUAGCAUAGUAAUGUUCUUUAUUCCAAUGACUCUUUGUCUUCUAUCUAAUCUCGUGUUUUUUGUCAUCACGAUACAUGGAGUUCAUUCUAUCAAGAAAACAACAUCUAUGCUAAAAUCUGGCCAGGACUCUCAAUUGAAACAAUGGACGGUUGAGCUCAGAAUAUAUGUCAAGAUCUCAGCUCUUCUUGGAUUCGCCUGGUUAUUUGGGUUCUUAGCUAUGGUCAUCAGAGUCCCCUUCAUGGACUAUCUCUUCAUCAUCGUCAUCAGUCUCCAAGGCGUCUUCAUUUUCAUUUCAUUCGGUGCCAACAAACGAGUCAAGAAACUCUGGCGAACAUUUUCGCAGAACUCAACGCUGUGGACGACUCUUUCUCGAAGAGAGCAUUCAAGCGGUCGUAGUAAUACUGGAACACAGGAUGGACGCACACAAUGUAGUGAGAAACAUUAGACACUAUAAAUAUAAAUGGAAGGAAGAAAGCGCAGAUACUUACCAUAAGUUGCUAGAAGGGAAGGGGUAGUAAAACUCCGGCUGCAGUUCCCACUCGUCAACAGAGAGAGAGAGCCUUGAAUGGGUGGGUGAGGGGUAGAGAGGUCUAUUAAGAGCCAUUAAAUCACUAAGCUGCGACUGUUAGCGCAACACUCGAACGGCAUUCGCAAGGGAGUUUCCCAAUUAUCUCGAAACUUUCGUGGGGUUCUAUAGUUCUCAAUUACCUCGCGUGACUAGCCGGUCCUUCCUCUCGUGUUGCUGGAAUUUUAAACUAAAUUUUCUCUCAAAAUAGUCACAGAGUCGUCGCGUAUGUCUCGAACCCUUCUCAAUAGGUCAUUUUCGUAAUGUGUAUGCAUGUGCAUUAGUAAAGCGCCUAGAUACGAAUAAAUGUAUCUCAAUAGUCACGUUUCAAAUUGCAUUUAUUCGUUCUUGCUAGGUAAGACAAACAUGACUAGCCCUACCUACCAACAUGUUAUAUAUGUUAUUUGCAUUCUGACUAAUGAAUUAACAAUGGAUGCCCCCCUCCACAAAUUUUAUUUUUCGUUAUAGAAAGUGAUAGUGGGAUGGAAAGGUACACUAAAUUAUAUAUUUUUUUACUAAUAUUUUACAAAUUGUUACUACCCUUGUAUAUAAAUUGAAAUAUAAUUGAUUUUUUGUUGUUGCCUAAAUACAACUUGGCAAUGCUAUUUUAUCGUAUCAAAAAAUGUUUUAAUAUUUAGAAAACACGUAUUAAAGUUAUACCCCUUAACAAAAAAGUCUAAAUAAAUUUAAAUUUGUUAACUAUAUUUUCACUAUAUCUUAUUAA